AAAAAAUACAGUUUAAUGUCGAAACUGUUUGAAAUCAGAUUUAUUGUGCUUUUAUUAACCUUUUAUAUUAUAUUUUCGCUAUUCUAGCAGAAUUUAUAGCAGUGAGAGAGUUAUUUUCAUAAAAAUGCGUGAAAACAUAUUCUUUUCACAGGUAUACUUGAGUAGUGCCAAAAGUCAAUUCAAUCAGUCCAGACCUUCCUACAACCAUUGCAUCGAACAAUGGAUUUGGAGUUUUUACGAAAUUUGCAGUUUUGCCAGAAUCUGAAGGCAUGAAGUUCGGACACUUUGAAAGUGGCAAGAGUAUAAAAUGUUUAGCAACUCCCAAACUAGGACGACUAAAUAAUCAGAUGAUCUUAAGCAUGUUUGUUGGAUCUCUGAUAUCAGGAGUACUUCUGCA